rnacentral:lncRNA from 1 species
CCGGCUAGCCGGCGCAGGAUCCACAAUCUUCAAGGGUGGCCAGGUAGCCCCGUGUGCCCUUCUGAUAGCGCAGCAGCAGCACUUAACACCUAACCGGCUUGGCUAAAUUCUAUGUGAGAGGCACUGGUGCUGACGGUAAAAAUAAAAACAAAACACCAUCCAGUCCAGAGGCAGCUUACAGCUCAAUAGAGAAGAAGGGUGAAUUCAAAAUUCUUCUGGCAUUAUUACUUGUCAAAGAAGAGUGGGGACAUGUGUCCCUCUUCUGCCAUACUGUGACCUGGACAGAAGAAAGUGAAUAAGGACAUUUUUCUCCCUGAAGGCUUCGGGAGCUUGGCCUGCAGAAGCCUCUUCUUGGUUAGGACUCAGAACCCUCUCAGAACAUUGUGACCUGCCAGAGCUGGCAUUGCACAGAGACCUUCCUGGGCAACCCUUGAUUCACCGUCCCAUAAAUGUCCAGAUGGAGGAAGUGGUCUGGGGAAGAUGGACCAUUAUGAAGAUUAAUGCACCUUUUA